CGAUGAACCACUUUCGGUGGGGAUUAGUGGCGAACGGGUGAGUAACACGUGGGCAAUCUGCCCUGCACUCUGGGACAAGCCCUGGAAACGGGGUCUAAUACCGGAUAUGACCAUCUUGGGCAUCCUUGAUGGUGUAAAGCUCCGGCGGUGCAGGAUGAGCCCGCGGCCUAUCAGCUUGUUGGUGAGGUAACGGCUCACCAAGGCGACGACGGGUAGCCGGCCUGAGAGGGCGACCGGCCACACUGGGACUGAGACACGGCCCAGACUCCUACGGGAGGCAGCAGUGGGGAAUAUUGCACAAUGGGCGCAAGCCUGAUGCAGCGACGCCGCGUGAGGGAUGACGGCCUUCGGGUUGUAAACCUCUUUCAGCAGGGAAGAAGCGAAAGUGACGGUACCUGCAGAAGAAGCGCCGGCUAACUACGUGCCAGCAGCCGCGGUAAUACGUAGGGCGCGAGCGUUGUCCGGAAUUAUUGGGCGUAAAGAGCUCGUAGGCGGCUUGUCGCGUCGGUUGUGAAAGCCCGGGGCUUAACCCCGGGUCUGCAGUCGAUACGGGCAGGCUAGAGUUCGGUAGGGGAGAUCGGAAUUCCUGGUGUAGCGGUGAAAUGCGCAGAUAUCAGGAGGAACACCGGUGGCGAAGGCGGAUCUCUGGGCCGAUACUGACGCUGAGGAGCGAAAGCGUGGGGAGCGAACAGGAUUAGAUACCCUGGUAGUCCACGCCGUAAACGGUGGGCACUAGGUGUGGGCAACAUUCCACGUUGUCCGUGCCGCAGCUAACGCAUUAAGUGCCCCGCCUGGGGAGUACGGCCGCAA
rnacentral:rRNA from 1 species